AGUGAAGCGGCAACAGCUCAAAUUUGAAAUCUGGCCCUUGUGGUCCGAGUUGUAAUUUGUAGAGGAUGCUUUUGGUUAGGUGCCUUCCGAGUUCCCUGGAACGGGACGCCAUAGAGGGUGAGAGCCCCGUCUGGUUGGAUACCGAGCCUCUGUAAAGCUCCUUCGACGAGUCGAGUAGUUUGGGAAUGCUGCUCUAAAUGGGAGGUAUAUGUCUUCUAAAGCUAAAUACCGGCCAGAGACCGAUAGCGCACAAGUAGAGUGAUCGAAAGAUGAAAAGCACUUUGAAAAGAGGGUUAAAAAGUACGUAAAUUGUUGAAAGGGAAGCGCUUGUGACCAGACUUGGGCCCGGUCAAUCAUCCAGGGUUCUCCCUGGUGCACUUGGCCGGCCCAGGCCAGCAUCAGUUUGUCGCGGGGGAUAAAGGCGUCGGGAAUGUGGCUCCCCCGGGAGUGUUAUAGCCCUUCGUGUAAUACCCUGCUUCGGACUGAGGUUCGCGCAUCUGCAAGGAUGCUGGCGUAAUGGUCAUCAGCGACCCGUCUUGAAACACGGACCAAGGAGUCGUCUUCGUAUGCGAGUGUUCGGGUGUCAAACCCCUACGCGUAAUGAAAGUGAACGCAGGUGAGAGCUUCGGCGCAUCAU
rnacentral:rRNA from 1 species